AGAAUCAAGAAUUUAUGGCGCUUGUAGUCUAAUUUUACAUCAGAAAAUGAGAUGAGGAGGGUCCUGGCUGUGUCCUGAGGGACCAGGACCUGGUUGCUAAGAGACUAAUGGAAAGUCAGAGGCUAAAGGAAUGGCAGGAGUGAGUCACCGAGCAGAGCAAACAGAGUGCAGGUUGAAAAAUAUAUAGAAGAUAAUUAAAAGAGGAAAUGAUUCACAAACAUACGCACCAUUACGUCACUAUAAAAAUAUUUUCAUAUCAGUGUUGUUUGAGGUCAACAUCUGCUUGUGAGUCCAUGUGCAACUGGUAAUGCUCUAUCUCUGCCCGUAAUGGUGCUUUUGGCUUGACACAGUUUUAUUUGUAUGUGCUGCGUCCAAGUUCCUCAAAACCUUAAUGAAUUUAUUGGACAUGUUUCUUAAAACAAAGCCAGUGUUAUUGCACAUCCACAUCUGUGCAACGUGUCUUAGAUAAUGAGUCAUAGAGCAGAGAAAUUGAAAGCAUGUGCAGCAUUUACGACGCAUUGUUUGUAGUGCUCUUAAUCUCCUGUUUGUCACUGCAGCAACUCUGGAUUCAGGCAGAAUUUAAUUGUUUUAAAGGAUAAUAAACCACAGUAAACACAGGACAUAACAGUGUCCAAAAGAAAAAAAAAAACAUCUGCAAAACUGAAAAAAAAUAAAUGUGACACGAUUUGGUAAAACACCAAGUUUAACAAAGCUUUUACAACCACAGUUCUUAUUUGUCUGAAGGCAAUGAUUUUAUGGAGAAAACAGGAAUUCUUUUGAUAAUAACUUUCCAAACAGGAAGGAACAGGAACAGGUUUGGAGAAAAAUGGAAUAGACAAGUGUGGAGGAAACAGGAAGUGAAUGGAAUCCAUGACUUAUGGCAGAUGUAGUAGUGUGUGAAGAACAGCGGCAUAAUGUGGCCUGAAGGCGGCAAUUGUAGUAAGACUCAAAAUAGAUGGACACAGCACUGAGGGGGCAGCAACAAAUCAGACGGUCGACAAGACAGUCACAAUUUCCACAAGACGACGGGACGAGACGAGAGGAAAUGUGGAAACGCUGUCUAAAAUAAGAGCAAAGAGAACAACAAGGCCAAGAGGGAAGCGAUCAAGCCAAACCUACAGUAUAUACAAUCAAACCUCAGUCAUUCAGGGCAAAGCAGAGAAGCAGGUCAAUGUCCAGAACGUGGUUCUGGUUCGAGUGGAUGAGGAAAAUGAGCACUGUGUGAGAGUCGCUGCUUCUGGAGGGAGAAAAGCAGCUGAUGCCAAUGAAACAGUAUGUGACGCGUGUGGAGUAAUGCACCAUGUAAGAAUUAACCCCAGGACGUGGCCUGAAGCCCACAGUGAACAGCCGUCGACGCGUCGGCCUGUUUCCCUGUCUGACAGGGCCACUCCCCGACCCGGAACCCACCCACCAACCCACCCACCGCCGUGAGAGGACGAGAAGCAACAAGUCAUGUCUGUGUCAGACGCUUCGGUCUGCCUCCACGCAUCCACAGCGUCUCGCGGUGGGUGGAGUGAGUGAGCGAUUAGUCUCGUCUUGUGUCUCAUGGAAAUAAUAGCUAACGGAUAAACAAUAAAAAAGGAAAAACUUGAAAGGGUGAUGAAGUA
rnacentral:lncRNA from 1 species